GUGGCUGUAGCUCAGUCGGUAGAGCCCCGGAUUGUGAUUCCGGUUGUCGUGGGUUCAAGUCCCAUCAGCCACC
rnacentral:tRNA from 3 species